rnacentral:rRNA from 1 species
UACAGAGGGUGCAAGCGUUAAUCGGAAUUACUGGGCGUAAAGCGCGCGUAGGUGGUUCGUUAAGUCUGAUGUGAAAGCCCUGGGCUCAACCUGGGAACUGCAUUGGAUACUGGCGAUCUGGAGUGCGGUAGAGGGUGGCGGAAUUCCCGGUGUAGCAGUGAAAUGCGUAGAUAUCGGGAGGAACAUCCGUGGCGAAGGCGGCCACCUGGACCAGCACUGACACUGAGGCACGAAAGCGUGGGGAGCAAACAGG